rnacentral:rRNA from 1 species
CACGGGGGGAGCAAGCGUUGUUCGGAAUCACUGGGCGUAAAGGGCGUGUAGGCGGUCAAGUAAGUGGAAUGUGAAAUGCCUCGGCUUACCCGGGGACCUGCAUCCCAAACUGCUUGGCUUGAGUAUGGGAGAGGAUGAGGGAAUUCCUGGUGUAGCGGUGAAAUGCGUAGAUAUCAGGAGGAACACCGGUGGCGAAAGCGCUCAUCUGGCCCAAUACUGACGCUGAGGCGCGAAAGCUAGGGGAGCAAACGGGAUUAGAUACCCCGGUAGUCCUAGCCGUAAACGGUGAGCACUAGGUGUUGGAGGCAUCGACCCCUCCAGUGCCGCAGCUAACGCAUUAAGUGCUCCGCCUGGGAAGUACGGCCGCAAGGUUGAA